rnacentral:rRNA from 1 species
UCCUACGGGAGGCAGCAGUGGGGAAUCUUGCACAAUGGAGGAAACUCUGAUGCAGCGAUGCCGCGUGAGUGAAGAAGGCCUUUGGGUUGUAAAGCUCUUUUGUAGGGGAAGAUAAUGACUGUACCCUAAGAAUAAGGUCCGGCUAACUUCGUGCCAGCAGCCGCGGUAAUACGAAGGGACCUAGCGUAGUUCGGAAUUACUGGGCGUAAAGCGCGCGUAGGCCGUUGAGUUAGUUAAUUGUGAAAUCCCAAAGCUUAACUUUGGAACUGCAAUUAAAACUGCUCGACUAGAGUUUGAUAGAGGAAAGCGGAAUACAUAGUGUAGAGGUGAAAUUCGUAGAUAUUAUGUAGAACACCAGUUGCGAAGGCGGCUUUCUGGAUCAACACUGACGCUGAGGCGCGAAAGUAUGGGUAGCAAAGAGGAUUAGAUACCCUCGUAGUCCAUACCAUAAACGAUGAUUGCUAGAUGUUGGAAAUUUAUUUUCAGUAUCGCAGCUAACGCAUUAAGCAAUCCGCCUGGGGAGUACGACCGCAAGGUUAAAACUCAAAGGAAUUGACGGGGA